CUCUGGUUCACACCACCUUAGUAAAAGGUGCUGCCGUCCUACGGUCUGUGCAGCCUCCAUCUCCUCCUGUAGUUUCCCCCUCUGCCUAUCCCCACAUGUAGUCUUCUACUUAGAAUUCUAGCACUUCAAUGUCAUUACUUCAUUCCUCCUUACACUUUUGCCACAAGUUGGUUCAGACUUUGCUCCCUCUUGAUUAGAUGUCUUCACAGCAUCUGCCAGCCUGCACCUCUCCUUCACAUUGUUCCCUGCUCCCACUCCUUCUUACCUAAAUUCUAAUUCUGGUCUUCUCUGUCUUCAGAGCACCCAUCACAGGUUCCUCACAAUUUGGAGCACCAUGUCCCAUGUCCCACAGGGCCACAGCUUACGAGGUGCCAUUACUAAAGUUGACUUUCUAAAAAUCAGCCAGGAUUGAAGCUGACGAGCACCACCCAGUAGAGCACCUUCACCAGCUCCCUGGCAGCAUCAGGGAAUCAUCCAGAGGUGAUUUCUUUGAGAAUGCCAAAAUUCUACCACAUCGUGGCUUUUAGUCACUCAAACUCUGAACGCUACAUCUGUCUGAAAUAUUAAAGUGGCCCUUAUGAAAGUGUGAGAUUGGUUCAUGUUAUCCAUUUCACCUUUUCACCAAGUCUUACACAUUUCCACAUCUUUUCACAGAGAAAUCCUCUUUUUGUAGGUGGUACAGGACAGGGAUUUUGGUUCAUCCAUGAGGCCCAAGCACCUGGAACACUAACCAGGACACUCUAAGCAAUCUAUCAAGAUUAGUGGAAUGAAUAAAUGCACAGAGUCAUUCAAUGCUUAAAAAAUUAUACAAG
rnacentral:lncRNA from 1 species